CACUGACGGUAUCAAAACGUCAAACGCGCUCUCUGGGGUUUUCCUCCCAGGGGAGAAGUGCCUUUGCCCCCGCCGGGGGCGAGGCCGCCGCUCGAGAGAUGAGCGCCCGAUGCGGUCCGUUCGGGCACCGUGCGGACACGGGUUCGUCCUCGUCCGCGCGGCCGAAGGAUAGUGGCUUUUUGGAAUGAAAAACACGUGAACCGUCUUGUCGACGAAAACUGAUGGACGAAUGAUCCAUCGACACCGUACACGACUCCGGGCGGUGGAUCACUCGGCUCGCAGAUCGAGGAAGGACGGAGCCAACUCCGUGAAACACGGCGAAUUGCAGGGCGCCAAGAAACCGCCACAGUUUGAACGCAUAUUGCGGCCUUGGCAGCGAUGUCGAGGCCACGCCUGUUCGAGGGUCUGAUUACAUCUUGCCCGUCUCGGACGUGUGUCCGGGCACCGGACCUCGCGUCGGACGUGCACGUCUCUCUCUCACAGGGCGCGCACGAAGGACGCGUGGUCCUAAGAUCGGAACGAAGCCGAGGGGAGACGGACCGUCUCGCACGCCGGACGUCCGGUGGCGCCGCGAGUUCGGCGCUGCCGGCUGUCGUGGGCCGUGACGCCGAGAUUCCCUCCUGGCCGGCGGAAUGCUUUUCGUGCCGGGAGGUUCGAGUACUCGUGCGGGUGGGUCCCACGGCAGAGAUCGGCCGUAGCGUCGGUUUCGACUCCUUUCGUGCGUGUGUUCUUAUAUAUCUUAUUCUUUCUGUCGGACCUCGGAUCAGGCGGGAUUACCCGCUAAAUUUAA
rnacentral:rRNA from 1 species